rnacentral:rRNA from 1 species
GUGGGGAAUCUUCCGCAAUGGACGAAAGUCUGACGGAGCGACGCCGCGUGAGUGAAGAAGGCCUUCGGGUCGUAAAGCUCUGUCAUCAGGGACGAACGGCCGGUGGAGUGGAAAGCCACCGGAUUGACGGUACCUGAGAAGGAAGCCACGGCUAACUACGUGCCAGCAGCCGCGGUAAUACGUAGGUGGCAAGCGUUGUCCGGAAUUAUUGGGCGUAAAGCGCGCGCAGGUGGGAUCUUAAGUCCAUUUUGAAAGUUCGGAGCUCAACUCCGUGAUGGGAUGGAAACUGGGAUUCUUGAGUACCGGAGAGGAAAGCGGAAUUCCCCGUGUAGCGGUGAAAUGCGUAGAUAUGGGGAGGAACACCAGUGGCGAAGGCGGCUUUCUGGACGGUGUCUGACACUGAGGCGCGAAAGCUAGGGGAGCGAACGGGAUUAGAAACCCUGGUAGUCC